rnacentral:lncRNA from 1 species
CUAACUUAGCUAAUUAACUAUUUGUUAUUACAAAUAUUUGCUAAGCUAAUUGGUCUUUGGCCCAACUGUUGUAGCCCAUGCGUGAAUUAGUCCAUUAAGUUUAAUUGGAAACUUUGCAACUUGGACCUUAAGUUUCUUGUUUAUCACCGUGUGGGACUUCAUGAAACUUUUGCACUUUCGCCUUAAGUUUCUUCAGUAUCUCACACACUCGUUUGGGUUAUUUCCUAUACAAUGAUCUUCCAUCUGAAAUGUCAAUUAGGUCCUGCAAACAGAGAUUAUGUUUAUACAAGUUAAUUGCUCUUAGUUAACUUGUAUUUCCUUUACUCCCCCCUCAAGCCUUGGAAUAUAUAUUUAAUAUUCCAAGCUUGGAAUGGAAAGUUGUGAUUUCUUUAUCACCAAGUGCUUUUGUUAGAAAAUCAGCAAGUUGGAACUUAGUUCCAAUUUGUUUUAAUGAGAUUUUCUUUUGAUUUAUCAUUUCUCUUAUGAAAUGACAAUCUACUUCUAUGUGUUUUGUCCUCUCAUGGAAUACUGGAUUAUUCGUUAAAUGUAUAGCUGAUUUGUUAUCACAAUAAAUAUCUGUGGGUAUUGGUAUUUUGAUUUUCAGUUCAUUCAUCAAUUGGUGAAUCCAUACAAUUUCACAAGUCACUUGAGCUAUAGCUCUAUAUUCUGCCUCACAUGAUGAUCUGGCUAUUGUGUUCUGUUUUUUGGUUUUCCAAGAGAUUAAUGAAUCUCCUAGCAUGAUACAGAAUCCUGUCAAGGAUUUUCUACUAAUUUGGCAUGCUGCCCAAUCAGCAUCACAAUACCCUCUAAUCACCAUGUUUGCAUUUCUACUGUAUAAUAAUCCUUGUCCUGGAGCAUUUUUGAUAUAUCUUAUUAGUUUAAACAGGACUUCUAGAUGAACUCUCUUGGCUCAUGCAUAAAUUGACUCAGCCAGUUUACUGAGAAACUUAUAUCUGGCCUUGUUAUGUUGAGGUAUAUUAAUUUUCCAACCAUCUUCCUAUAGAAGGUUGGGUUUUUAAUUAACAUAGAUUUAUCAUUUUUUAAAUCUAUGUGUCUUUCCAUUGGAAUUUUGGAAGGUUUUGCACCAGAAAGACCAGCUUCUUCUAAAAUUCCUAAUGCAUAUUUCCUCUGGGAUAAAUAUAUUCCUUGAGGUGAAUAGGAUACCUCAAUCCCUAGGAAGUAACUUAACCUUCCUAGAUCUUUUAGUUUGAACUGAUUUUCCAAUUGGACUUUUAUUAUCCCAAUUUCUAAUUCAUUGUUGCCUGUUAGGAUGAUAUUAUCCACAUAUACAAUGAGGUAUAGGAUGUUUUGAUUUCUUUCUCUUAUGAAUAAAGAAUAAUCAGAUUUUGUUUGAAGAAAACCAAUGUCUAAAAGAACUCCUCUUAGUUUCUCAAACCAGCUUCUUGAAGCUUGUUUGAGACCAUAUAGAGAUUUAUUUAGUUUACAUACUCUUUUAUCUUUUUCUUCAAGCAUACCUUGUGGAGGUUUUAAAUAUACCUCUUCAUGUAAAUCACCAUGCAAAAAUGCAUUGUUUACAUCUAAUUGGUGUAGAUUCCAUCUUUUAAUGGCAGCUACUGCUAUUAUAGUUUUUAUAGUGACCAUCUUCACUACUGGUGCAAAGGUUUCAAAAAAAUCAAAACCCUCUUUCUGUGUGAAGCCUUUAGCUACUAACCUUGCUUUAUACCUUUCUAUUUGGCCAUCUGGUUUAUAUUUAAUUUUAUAGAUCCAUUUUGAUCCAAUAGAUUUUCUGUUUUGUGGAAGAUUAGUAAGAGUCCAUGUAUUGUUCUCUUGUAAAGCCUUCAUUUCAUUUUGCAUAGCUUCAAUCCAUUUUGGAUCUUUUGAAGCUUCAUUGUAUGAAUUUGGUUCAUCAUUAAUUGUUAUUUGUUUUAAAUAUUGUUUGUGAUGUUUAUUUAUCCUAUUAUAUGAGACAUGAUUGCUCAUAGGAUAUUUUAAUUUAUCACAUUUCUUCUUGUUUUGUAGAAUAAAUUCUUGGAAAUGUUUUGGUUCUACAAUUUUCCUUCCAUACAAACUUGUUUUUUUAUUUGUUGUUUUUAAGUUUUUAUUUUCAGAGUUUAUUGUACUCUGGUCUUGUUCUGAAUUUUUUUUUAAAUUGCUAUCUGAACUGGUCAGAAUGAUUUGUCCAGAGUUGUUAUCUAGCUCUGGGUUUUGAUGUUUUUCUUCUGAGAUUUGCCUUAAGUCAUUUUCUAUAUGAUUUUGUUGGCUAUUUAGCCUAUUUUGUCCAGAGCUAAUUUGUUCCUUUUCUGUAUUUUGAAUUAGAUUCUCUGGCCUUCUUAAAUCUUGUUGAUUUGUUUGCUCUGGGAUAUUCUCUGAAUAAUCUUGCUGAUUAUUCAGAGUGUUUUGUUCAAGGGCUUUUCCUUGUUCUGAAUUUUUACUUCUAUUCUUAGAAGAAUAAUUUUCAGAAAAUUUUCUUGUUACCCCAGGGCAUAGUUCUGAAUGACUUUGUUUAUUGUUUUGAAUUUUAUAUCCAGAGUUUUCUUUUUGCUCUGGGUUUUGUAUUUCUAAUACAUUUUCAUUUGUUCCUGUUUUUUUUUAAAAAACUUCUUCAGUUUGAAUAAUUUUAUUUGGGGUAUUUUUUUCAACAGAGUUAUAUAUGUUCUCUUCAUUAAACUGAUCAUAUUCAUGUGUGUCCAAUGAAUUACUAUUUCUUUUUCCUUGUUUACUGUUAUUUUCACAAUUGGAUGAUCUUCCAAUCUGUGAUGUUUUAUUAUUACAAAAUUCUGUAUUUUCAGAAUAUGGUUUUAUUGUUUCGUUGUGGCCAUCAUGUAUAAUUUGACUAUAAAAGUUUUGUAAUGGUCUUUUGUCUAUAUUUUGAAUAUUUUUAGUUAUAUCUUUAAAUGGAAAGAUGUUUUCCCUAAAGACAACAUUUCUUGAAAUGUGAAAUUUCAUUUUUUCUAUUUCUAAGACUAAAAAACCUUUUGUAUUUGAUGGGUAUCCCAUAAAAAUACCUUUGAAGGUCCUUGGUGAGAACUUAUGUUCUUUAAUGUUCGUGGUUGCAAAGCAUAGGCAGCCAAAGGUUUUAAAAUCUUCAUAGUUUGGAGUUUUUUUAUGUAGAACUUCAAAAGGUGUUUUGUUUUUUAAUACCUUUGAAGGUAUCCUGUUUAUUAUAUGUGCUGCAGUUAGCAUACAUUCUCCCCAAUAUUCUAUUGGGGCUGCACUUUGAAAAUAUAAUACACUUGCCACCUCUAAUAAAUGCCUAUGUUUUCUUUCAACUAUGGCAUUUUGUUGAGGUGUAUAUGGGCAUGAAUAUUGGUGAAUUAUCCCAUAAUUUUCAAGUAAUGACUUGAAUUUAUUUGAGUUAAAUUCCCCUCCAUUAUCACUUCUUAUUAUUUUUAUAUUUUUGUCAAAAAUAUUUUUGAUUUUUAAUAUGAAAUUUCUAAAACAUUCUAAAACCAUGCUUUUGUUUUUGAUCAAGAAAAUCCAAGUUGUUCUACUUAGAUCUUCAACAAUGGUUAGAAAUGAGGAAUAUCCAUCAUGUGUGUUUGUUUGGAAUUUCCCCCAAACAUCCAUAUGAAUUAGAUCAAAUAGAUCCUUUGAUUUUGAUAAACUAUUUUUAUAUUUUAGUUUAUUUUGUUUUGCAAGUGGGCAGAUAUUGCAAUUUUCUUUUAUCAAAUCAAAUUUUUUAUUUAUUGCUGAAAAACUUCUAUUCUGAGAAACAAUAUCAUGUUUGUCUAUUUUAUUACAAUCAAAACUAUUUAUGGAUUUACAAAAAAUAGAUUUGCAUUUUAUUCUAUUGGCUUCAACAAGAAUUUUCAUCUUUUCUGAUGAAGGGUGUCCAAGCCUCUUGUGCCAAAUUUCAAAAUCCAUGGCUGUAUAAGCAUAUUGAGAGGAUUGAGACUCUAAAAAAUAAAGUCCUUUUUUGCACCUACCCUGCCCAAUCACUCUCUCGGAUUUGUUUUCCUGAAAAUGGCAUUUGAAUUUGUCAAAAAUGACCUUUAAAUUUGAAUCAUGAGUUAAUUUAUUUACUGAUAUCAAAUUAACCUUGAAUUAAGGUAUAUAUAAGACAUUCUUAAGUAUAAUGUCUUUGGAUAUUGUUAUAUCUCCAAUAGAAGUUACUUUGCAUACCUCCCCACUUGGAAUGGUGACAAAGUGCUCAUAAUCUUCUAUUGGGUUUUUAUCAAAAAUUUGGAGACUCCCAGUCAUGUGUUGGGAGGCUCCAGUGUCUAUGAUCCAAGAUUUUUCAUAAUUUGAAAUAUUAAAAGAAAAAUCCAUACCUGAGGAUUUGUUCAAAAAAUCCUUUAUCAUUAGAAGCUCUUCACUGGUCAGUCCUUGAUUCACAGAUGAAGUUGUGGCCUGAUUUGCAUUUUCAGUAGAAUUCUUCUUUUCUUUUCUGUUUUUCUUUUUGUCAUUUGGAAAACCUAUUAGGUGGUAGCACUCCUCUCUAGUGUGACCAAAGAACUUGCAGUUGUCACAGUAAAACCUACUGUCCAACUUCUUUCCAUUUUUUCCAUACAUUUUUUUCUUUGGUUCCUCUUUUCUAUCUUCUUUUUCAGAUUUUUUAGCAAAAAGAGCAGUUGAGUUUCCACCCAAUGUUUCCCUAGAGUUGUUUUUGUGCUUCUCUUCUUGUGUUACUAAACAAAAAACCUGAUUCAUAGAAGGAAGCUCGGGGUAUGCAAGUAUUUGACUCCUUAGAGUCCUAAAAUCAUCAUUUAAACUUAAUAAGAAAUGAUGAAUUUUUUCUUUCUCCAAUUUCUUGUUAUAAAUUGGAGUGCAGUUUGUACAAAAAUUACAAUCUGGCUUCUCUAUUUCUAUGAACUGAUCCCAUAAUGAUUUAAAUUUGUCAAAGAAAAUAGCAACAGAAUCAUUAGAUUGGGUUAGGGUGUUUAUCUCAUACCUCAAUUGAUUUGUUUUGGGGGCAUUUUUCUGCUUGUAUCUCUUUUGAAGAUCUGCCCAUGCUUCAUAAGCAUUCUCUGUAUGUAUGAGAGUUGAUCCUAUCUAGGGACUUACACUAUUAAUGAUCCAGGAUAGUACCAGACCAUUGACCAUCUCCCAGUCUUCAUAAUCCUCCCCUGUUUCACAUACCGGCCUCUUAAUUUUUCCAUUGAUAAAACUAGUUUUUUUUCCUGGAAACCAAUGACAAUUUCAUUGAGUUUGCCCAGGCUACGUAGUUCUCUUCCCCAGUGAGUUUAUCUGCCACCAUAUGGGCACCUGGGUGAUCUCCAGAGGUGAGAUAGUAAGGUGAUUUUCUUGAGUACUUCUUACUGUCUUCAUCCUUGUGUUUGGAAAUCGAUUUUUUAUCCUUUGAUUUUUUAAAAGACCUGGAAUCAUGUUUUGAACUGUUAUCAGAAGAUACAUUGUUACCUUGUUUGCUCGAACUCCCUUGACUGGAAUCUUCAUCAGUCGGAUGUCCUUUUUUUGCGGAAGUUGGUGGGUUGUUUGCGUCGUCGCUGACAUGUGAUACCAUGUUAAAUCUCCUGCUCGCUUGGCUGCUACCGGAUUCAAUUGCUCAGGUGAAGGUAGAAAUUGAGUAGAAGUGGAGCAGCGCAAGAUUGGGGCGGAUUCUAGGGUUAUGCGACUUAACUGUCGCCUAGAAGCCGUUGGAGGGAGAUUAGAAUAGUAGUUUCAAUUAAUCACAAUUUGAAUGUAAUUAACUUAAUUAAUUCCAGUCACAAUGGUUUCCUUUUAAACUAAUUACAGCCCUAACUAACUUAACUAAUUAACUAUUUGUUAUUACAAAUAUUAGCUAAGUUAAUUGGUCUUUUAAAAACUAAUUACAACCCUAACUAACUUAGCUAAUUAACUAUUUGUUAUUACAAAUAUUUGCUUGCUAAUUGGUCUUUGGCCCAACUGUUGUAGCCCAUGCGUGAAUUAGUCCAUUAAGUUUAAUUGGAAACUUUGCAACUUGGACCUUAAGUUUCUUGUUUAUCACCGUGUGGGACUUCAUGAAACUUUUGCACUUUCGCCUUAAGUUUCUUCAGUAUCUCACACACUCGUUUGGGU